UCCCAAUUGACUUGGAUUCCCAAGUCUUGGAGGAGAUUUAAAACUUACUGUGUAUGAGAAAGUAACUCCUUGAUCUUUUAACAUCAGGAGCCAAACAUCCAAAUACAGGUAUAGUGAUAUACUCAGAUGGGCCACCACAAUAGCCAGACAUUUGGUAAAUAUCCUUGGGGUGGUAGAAAGUCUGAAGGGUAAGACCUUGUAUUGGUACACUUGUUUGCCUACAUCUUAGAUACUUCCUGUGUUGUUUCCUUAUGCUGAUAUGAAAAUACGUGUCUUUCAGAUCUGGCAUUGCAAACCAAUUCUCUUGAUAGAGAAGAGGUAAAAUUUCCAGCAAUGCUAUCAUGUGGAAUUUUCUUACAUGGACAAGCUUGUUCCGGUAGCGUAGGUCCAUGAUAGGGCGUAUCCCACCAUCCCUCUUCGGGAGUGAGACUGCUGCAGUAAUGGAGUGAGACUCUGAUUUGGCAAGAUGUUUUGCUGUAUUCAGUUGUUGUUGAGUGAGCACAGCUGAUUUACUCAAGGAGUCAUGUGGCAUCUCCCAGAUUUUGUUGAGGUGGUGCAGUCGAUGACCAGGGAGUUCAGAGCAGGAUGCUUUAGCAGGUA